UACGUAGGGUGCAAGCGUUAAUCGGAAUUACUGGGCGUAAAGCGUGCGCAGGCGGCUUUGCAAGACAGAUGUGAAAUCCCCGAGCUUAACUUGGGAACUGCAUUUGGGACUGCAAGGCUAGAGUACGGCAGAGGGGGUAGAAUUCCUGGUGUAGCAGUGAAAUGCGUAGAGAUGUGGAGGAACACCGAUGGCGAAGGCAAUCCCUGGCCUGUACUGACGCUCAUGCACGAAAGCGUGGGAGCA
rnacentral:rRNA from 1 species